GGGGCCACGGCGUCUCUCCUCUAAUGACACCUCAUCAAUCCGCUCCUAUCAAUGUCCCAGCCAUGGAGGUGACUUCGAGUGCUCAGAAGCCUUAGAAAAUGUCAACGUUUUGGGAGAAAAGGUGAGGAAAAAGAGACAAGAGUUUGGCAGCAAGUAACUUCCAGAGCUGGGAAUCAAGCUAAGGUGGAAUAUAUGGCUCUUUUAAGGAAUGUAAUAUUAUCUAGAAGAACAAAACUCAUAGAUAAAGCAGCAUGAUAUAGUGGAAAGAGGUGGAAUCUGGCUUUGAAGACCUGAGUUUACAUCAAAGCUUGCUGACAUGGUGUAUCCUGAAAUGGAGAGAGUUAAAUGAAGAAUUUGAAAUCCUCCUAAGGCCAGAAACCUGCGCGUGCUUUGGAUGUAAGUAACAUUUGUCAAGCCUGAAUUUUAGAAAGUUUGUAUAACAUUUAAUUCAUUGUUUUAAUCCAAAGGAGAACAUCCUGUUUACUGAGCCCUCAGAGUUGUUGAAAUAUGAAUAUGAAGUAGGAAUCCUUUCAACAUCCCAGAUUGUUCCUAUUUUUAUUUUUAUGUCUGAGAGUAUGGAUGUUCAGAGACGUUAAGUAACAUACUCUAAAUAACAUAGGUAAAAAGUACCAGGGCCAGGAUUUAAACCUGGUUUUGAUCAUUUUAAGGCCCAUGGGAAGGCCUACCACUUGCUAUCAAGACACAUAAAGCACAGUGCCUAGAGUGAGCUAACAACCUAUUAUAGAUUCCACAUGCAUCCCAUUUUCUGAGGCUUGUUAAAUUGUCUGAGAAAGGGCAUUAUGAUCAGUUUUCUUCAGUAAAUUUCACCAGUUUGGCCAAAGCCACUGAGGCAAGGUGACCUGAACGGCAUGUUGGUUAAUGUAGAUUCAAACCUGGAUGGUUGUUUUAUUUCUUUGUGAUGCUUGCCUGAUCUGGAAAGAAAGCAUAUCCUGUUGACUGAAGGAGAUUGGAUGUCAAAAACAGAAUGAGGAAAAUGGGGAUAGAGAAUUAUUGGGGCUCCUAAGCGAUAUGAAUGGAAUGGAGAGAAUCUGACAAAAAACGUUCUAUGGGGGACUUUUCCCUUGAUUAAAUUAGAGCUAUUUGAAUAGCUAAUUGAAUGAUAGGGUCCAGGAGAAAAGAGCAGCAACCUUAUGUAACCUUUCUUCUUAUAUUUUUAAGUCGUUGGGCAGUUUUACAGCACACCACAUUAGGCGGGAGCAAAGUUUCUUUGCUCAUGGUGAGUUAGCCUCAGAAAUUUCUACACAUACAUCUUUUAAGGAAGAUGACUGUAUAUUUUGGUCAAAGCUAGUAAGGUCAUUGCUUUUGUAUGUUGCUUAAACCUUUCCUGAUAAUGCGCUAUGAACCUCCCUUCCUAUCCCCUGUAGUUGCAUGACUUCUGCUGAGAAUGGGUAGGGAUGCUCAGCCAGGCUGCUGGCUCCAUGCUACUUAGCUGUAACUUAAUAUUCCUAAGUGAAACUUGUUUUGGAGCUUAAGAACUCUGGGAGGUAUUGGUUGCUCCUUCACAUUUCCUGCCACAAACAUUUCCAACUCUCCUUGGAGCAUAAGAGGUGUGGGAGGGGAUGGUGAGGUCUGAGGCAGCCUGCUGUUUGGUGGGUCACAGUUUCCCCUCACCAGGGCUCCCUUUACUCCUUUUGAGUGUGCUGAUAUAGAAUGGGGAUGUGUUUGCAGCGGAAUUUAGUUGGAAGAGAAGGGCUCUGUGGGUCUGGAGUUCAGUCUUUCAGUCAUGGAGCUGGAGUGCCCUCUGCUGCUCUGGAGAGGAAGGUGCAUGAACAGCAUGGCUCUUGCCUGCACUUUGCUCCAGGUACAGGAAAAUCUCCAAAAUGCUCCCUUUGAAAACCAGUGCUCGGUUGAUCACUAAGCAUCUGGUUUCACUCAACUGUGGGGACUUUGGCUUUUUCAAGAAAAUCUCAUUGAGGCUGAGUAUGCAACCAGACCAGAGCCCACAUGGAAGGUAGCUUUCCUUCGGUCAAAAGGUGUGACAGCCAUUUCAGGAUAGGUAUUUGGCUUAUUUUUCAUGAGUGUCAGUGUCACCAUGAAAUAAGUGUUUAUUUUGUGUGUGAUCAAUCUUUUCAUAUAUAUCUGGGAUAACUGAAUAUUGUUAUUCCAGGUUUGGAGGUUUCUAUAUAUUUUCCUUUUGCAGUGUGUAAAAUCAAUGUUGAAAAAUGUUCUUUGUGGAAAAUGCAAGCAUUUUUAAAAAACAUUUCUUGCUUUACUUUUUAAUGUAUUUUAUCAUUCUGCAGUGGCAUAUUUUUAUAUAGUCUUAUAAUUUACAACCACUUUCUCAUAAUCUCAUUAAAACAUCCUGGUAAAUCUGAUAUAAGCUAUGUAGCUCCUACUUUAUAGACAGAAAAGCAAGUUUAAAGUCAUACCCAGUCAUAUAAGCGGUAUCAGAAGUGAGAACUGGGUCAGCUAAUGUGCUGAGCUCCAGGAAAAGGAUACCAGUGAAUAGUUAUUUAAUACUUACCAUUUGUUAGCACCAUAAUAGUGUUUUUAAAUUAAUUAAUUAAUUAAUUAAUUUUUGUCUUUUUGUCUUUUUUUAGGGCUGCACCCGUGGCAUAUGGAGGUUCAUAAGCUAGGGGUCUAAUUGGAGCUGUUGCCGCUGGCCUAUGCCAGAGCCACAGGAACGCCAGAUCUGAGCAUAUCUGCAACCUAUACCACAGUUCAUGGCAAUGCCAGAUCCUUAACCCACUGAGCAUGGCCAUGGAUCAAACCUUCAACCUCAUGGUUCCUAGUCGGAUUCAUUUCCACUGUGCCAUGGCGGGAACUCCAACUGUGUUUUUUUUAAUUCAUUGCUUACUUAUUUUUUACAUCAACUCAAAAGGUAGACAUUAUUAUAGCUGUUAUUUUAAUAGAUAUUAAAAUAGAGGCUUUGAGAAGUUACUAAUAAAGAGUCAAACAGACAGUAAGUGGAAAAGCUUUGUUUCAAACCCUGCUCCAUCUGAUGCCAGAGGCCCUGAUGUAUGAACAAUAUUUAAUAUGAAGAGAAAUCCCUGGCCUCAAGCAAUUUAGAGUAGUUUUUUUUUUGAUGCGAUAAUAUAUUUAUGAUAUAUGAUAUAAAAUUUACCAUUUUAACCACCUUUAGGUGUAAAGUUCAAUGUCAUUAAGUACAUUCAUGUUGGUGAGCAACCAUUACUGCCAUCCACCUCCAGAACUUUUUCUUCUCAGACUGAAAUGCUGUACCCAUUAAGCACUAACAUCUGUUUUCCCUUCCUCCGGCUCUUGAAAACCAUCAUUUCGUUUUCUUGUCUCUAUGAUUCAGACUACUCUAGGUACCUUAUGUAAGUGAAAUUGUACAGCAUUUUUUCUUUUGUGUCUAGAUUAUUUCAUUUAGCAUAAUGUGUUCAAAGUUCAUUCAUAUUAUAGCAUGUAUUAGACUUUCAUUCAUUUUUAAGACUGAAUGAUAGUCCAUUUUAUGACUAUACCAUAUUUUAUGUAUUCAUCCCUUGAUGGACGUUUGAAAUGUUUCCACCUUUUGCUUAUUGUGAUUAGUGCUGAUAUGAUAUAAAUACCUGUUUGAGUUACUGCUUUUGGUUAUUUUCAGUGUAUACCCAGAAGUAGGGCUGCUGAAUCAUAUAUUAAUUCUAUGUUUAAAUUUUUUUAAGGAACUACCACUCUCUUUUUCACAGUGGCGGCACUAUUUAACAUUCCUACCAAUGGAGAACAGGGCUGGUUCAUUCGUUCAUUCUUUCUUUCUUUCUUUCUUUCAUAGCCUAAUGCAUGUGAGGUAUCUCAUUGGGGUUUUAUGUUUUAAAGUUUUAAAAUUUUUUUGCUUUUUUGGAGGGGCCAUACAUGCAGCAUAUGGAAAUUCCCAGGUUAGGUGUUGAAUGGGAGCUGCAGCUCAGGCCUGUGUCACAGCCGUAGCAACAGGGGGAUCUGAGCUGGGUUUGUGACCUACACCACAGCUUCUCGUGGCAAUGCUGGGUCCUUAACCCACUCAACAAGGCCAGGCAUUGAACCCACAUCCUCAUGGAUGUUUCCACUGAACCACAAUGGGAACUCCCUCAUUGGGGUUUUAAUUUGCAUUUCCCUAAUGAUUAGUGAAGUAUAAUAUCUUUUCAUGUGCUUCUUGGCCAUCUAUAUAUCUUCUUUGAGGAAAUGUCUACUAUUUCUUAACUGGGUUUUCUUUGGCUGUUGUUGAGUUGUAUUGAGUUCUUUAUAUAUUCUGGAUAUUAAUUCUUUAUCAGAUGUAUGAUUUGCAAUUGUUUUCUCUUUUACUCUAUGGCUCUUUACUCUGUUGAUAGUAUCCUUUGAUGCACAAAAUGUUUCAAACAUUUUGAUGAAGUCUAAUUUAUUUGUUUCCUCUUUCAUUGCCUCUGCUUUUGGUAUCAUAUCCAAGAAUUCAUUGCCAAACUCAAUGUCAGGAAGCUUUCCCCUGUAUUUUCUUCUAAGAAUUUUAUAGUUUUAGUCCUUACAUUUGGGUGUUUGAUCUAUUUUGAGUUAAUUUUUUGUAUAUUGUGAAACUAAGCAUUCAGCUUCAUUCUUUUGCAUGUAGAUAUUAUUUUCCUUAUAAUAUUUGUUAAAAAGGAUGUCUUUUCCCCAUUAAAUUGACUUGGCACACUUGUUGAAAAUCAUUUGGCCAUAUAUGUUAGGGUUUAUUUCUGAGCUCUGUAUUCUGUUCAUUGGUGUGUGUGCUUGUCUUUAUGUCAGUACUACACUUUAUUAAUUACUAUAGCUUUGUUUGAAGUUUUGAAAUACAGAAGUGUGCAACCUCUAGUUUUGUUCAUUGUCAAGAUUGUUUUGACUAUCUGAAGUCCCUAGAAAGUCCAUGUGUUUUAGGUUGGGGUUUUCUAUUUUUGCCAAAAAAUGUCAUUGGGAUUCUGAUAGUGAUUGCAUUGAAUCUAUAGAUUUCUUUGAGUAAUAUUGACAUUUUAACAAUAUUGUCUUCUGAUUCAUGAAUGCAGACUGUAUUUUUAUUUAUAGAUGUCUUUUAAAUUUUUAUUCAGCAAUACUUUAUAUUUUUCAGUGUACAAGUCCUUGGUUAAGUUUAUUCCUAAAUAUUUUUUUUCUUUUAGAUGCUAUUGUAAAUGAGAUUUUCUUAAUUUUCUUUUUAGAUUGUUCAUUGUUAGUGUACAGAAAUGCAACUGAUUUUGCAUGCUGUUUUUGUAUCCUACUACCAGUUUGCCAUUUUAACUUGAGCCCAUAUCUUUUAACCAUGUCUCAUGUAUUUCCUACUCUUUCACAGUGGUCAACAUGUGAAAAUGACAAUUAAUUUCCAUUACACAGAAAUUUUGUUCUUAUGUCAAACUUUACCAAAAUUUGUCUGCCAUGAGUUUUUUUCAUGGAGUCCAAACAUUGUCAGCAAUUCAAUUAAUGAAAAAGAAAAUCAAUCUGAUUUUCCUUGUCUCUAUGUUAUGCCUACACUUAAUCUGAAUGACAAAGUUUUAACUUCCAGAUGCACAAAUUGGUUUGGUAUUAUAUUGACACAGCUACAGUUCUCAAAGUUGUUAUAAUCUGCACAAAGAAAACUAAAAACUAAAAUAUGCAUUUGUUUAUUCAUUCAACUUUCCAACUCAUGUUGACUUGGGUCAUAUAGUUUAUCCUAUUUGAUUGCCUAUUCAGCUAGAUAAAAAGCAUAGUACCAGUUUAAAAAAUAGACAAUUUAAUACAUUGGCCAACACCUGAUAAGAAUAACGCACACAAAUCUGUAAGCCAAUUUCACUUAUGAGUGUACAUGCCAAAAUUUGAAAUGCAGUUAUCAAAUUCUUAUUAUUUUAAAUAAAGACUAUACUACAUAUAGUAUAAUCUAGUAAUUUAAGUAUACAAUCUAUGAUCAUGAUUUAUCACAUCAUAUUGUAAGGAAAAAAAACUUGUGAAACCCUCUGAUAAAUGCAUGAAGCAUUUAUAAGUGCAACAUAUAUUCAUGAAUCAAAAUAUACUUUCAGUAAACCAUAGAUACUGUACCUCUUUUACACAACUAAAAAUAAUGUACUUAAAACUAAAGCCAAUAUCUACUUAGUAGAAAAUUCAGAAGGUUGCUGCUUUCAUGUAUCAUAAUUCCAGAAGUUCUAAUCAAUGCAUAAUAAUAUUAGUACAUCUACUAAUAAGUGUAUUUAAAUAAAAGUAGAUAACCAUAACAUGUGUAAGCAAUAAUUUUGUUGACCUGGAAACCAAACUUAAUCAAUUGGAAAACUAUUAGAAAGUAAUAAUGGAGUUUUCAUUGUGACUCAGUGGGUUAAGACCCCAACAUAGAGUCUGUGAGGAUGAGGGUUCCAUCUGUGGCCUUGCUUGGUUGAGUUAAGUAUCUGGUAUUGUUGUAAGCUAUGAUAUAGGUCACAGAUAUGUCUCAGAUAUGGCAUUGCUGUGGCUGUGGUGUAGGCCUGCACUUGCAGCUCCAAUUCCACCCCUGGCCCAGGAACUUCCAUGUGCUACAGGUGUGUCUGGAAAAUGAAAAAAAAAAAAAA
rnacentral:lncRNA from 1 species